GUAAGUUUAAAAAAAUAAAAUUAAUAACUGAUAAAUAGCUAAUAUGAUACUCAUCAGUUACAGUUUAUAUCAACUCUAUUUUUAAAUUUACUAAUUUGAUUUGAUUUUUUAUUUUGAUCAUUUUUUUUAUUUAACUUAAAAAUUAAUAUUAUUAAUACUUUUAUCUUUUUUAUUUAUAAUUUUAAUAUUUUAAUUAACGUAUUUUAACUUUGUUAAAAUAUUUUUUAUU
rnacentral:misc_RNA from 1 species